AUUGAACGCUGGCGGCAUGCUUUACACAUGCAAGUCGAACGGCAGCGCGGGCUUCGGCCUGGCGGCGAGUGGCGAACGGGUGAGUAAUGCAUCGGAACGUGCCCAGUAGUGGGGGAUAGCCCGGCGAAAGCCGGAUUAAUACCGCAUACGACCUGAGGGUGAAAGCGGGGGACCGAAAGGCCUCGCGCUAUUGGAGCGGCCGAUGUCGGAUUAGCUAGUUGGUGGGGUAAAGGCUUACCAAGGCGACGAUCCGUAGCUGGUCUGAGAGGACGACCAGCCACACUGGGACUGAGACACGGCCCAGACUCCUACGGGAGGCAGCAGUGGGGAAUUUUGGACAAUGGGGGCAACCCUGAUCCAGCCAUGCCGCGGGCGGGAAGAAGGCCUUCGGGUUGUAAACCGCUUUUGUUCGGGAAGAAAUCCUCUGGGCUAAUACCCCGGGGGGAGGACGGGACCGGAAGAAUAAGCACCGGCGAACUACGG
rnacentral:rRNA from 1 species